rnacentral:rRNA from 1 species
GACGAACCGUGCGAACGUUGUUCGGAAUCACUGGGCUUAAAGGGCGCGUAGGCGGGCCGGCAGGGCAGGGGUGAAAGCCCGCGGCUCAACCGCGGAAGCGCCCCUGAUACCGCCGGCCUCGAGGGGGGCAGGGGCGUGCGGAACUUCCGGUGGAGCGGUGAAAUGCGUAGAUAUCGGAAGGAACGCCGGUGGCGAAAGCGGCGCGCUGGGCCCCUUCUGACGCUGAGGCGCGAAAGCCAGGGGAGCGAACGGG